ACUCAGCCGCAUGCUCAUGUGAGUGUGUGUGCGCAGAGUAACAAAAAUAAUGUGUUUAUUAAUCUUUCUAUUAGGCUGUACACGUUUAAUCGCAAUUUAUGAUGACGAUAUGAAGAGUACAGCAUCAAAAAGCAUAGACGAAAUCCGUAAUUCUUGCAAAAAAAAAGGGCAGCAGGAAAUAAGGCGGCUUUAAAAACUACAGGCACACACACACACACAAAAAGAGAGAGACUCGCACACACAUUUCGUACAAACAUACAUAGCGCACACAGCAGGGCAACUACAAAUACGUGUCACAGUCGCAAACCAAAAACAACACCAGCGAGUGCCAUUCGCCGAAUGUAAGCCGAGACAAAGAAAUAUGGAGAAAACGCAAAAAGGGGGGAGCGCCGAUAAGAGCGAAUUAUUACAUAAUUCGCAGUAAACUUAACUUACCCAUGAGAUCAGAUGCCAGUGCCUCCUUUUGAUCCACUGGCACUUUGGAGAUUUUUCCACCCUUGUAAACGUAACUGCCCUCAAUUGACUUGAACUCCAGAUAACGGGUAACGC